rnacentral:rRNA from 1 species
CAAUAGCGUAUAUUAAAGUUGUUGCAGUUAAAAAGCUCGUAGUUGGAUUUCUGGUGGGAGCGACCGGUCCGCCUCGAAAGAGGUGCGUACUAGAUGUUGCAUCCGGCCAUCCUUGCGGAGAGCUGCCUUGGCAUUAGGUUGUCGAGGUAGGGAUCCGCAUCGUUUACUGUGAAAAAAUUAGAGUGUUUAAAGCAGGCAGUUGCUCUGAAUACAUUAGCAUGGAAUAAUAAGAUAGGACUUUGGUGCUAUUUUGUUGGUUUGCACACCAAGGUAAUGAUUAAUAGGGAUAGUUGGGGGUAUUCAUAUUUAAUUGUCAGAGGUGAAAUUCUUGGAUUUAUGAAAGAUGAACUAAUGCGAAAGCAUUUACCAAGGAUGUUUUCAUUA